UUAUCUGGUCAAAGAACAGUUUCAGGCGGGCAGUUUGACUGGGGCGGUCGCCUCCCAAAUGGUAACGGAGGCGUACAAAGGUUUCCUCUGAACGGGUAGAAAUCGUAUCUAGAGUGUAAAGGCAAAAGGAAGCUUGACUGUGAGACCUACAAGUCGAGCAGGGACGAAAGUCGGUCUUAGUGAUCUGACGGUACUGAGUGGAAAGGCCGUCACUCAACGGAUAAAAGUUACUCUAGGGAUAACAGGCUGAUCUCCCCCAAGAGUUCACAUCGACGGGGAGGUUUGGCACCUCGAUGUCGGCUCAUCGCAUCCUGGGGCGUUAGUACGUCCCAAGGGUUGGGCUUU
rnacentral:rRNA from 14 species